UCCGUGUUGACCACGGCGGUCUCCUACGAGUCCCCGGCAUUACCCGCUGGCAACAUAGGACAAGGGUUGCGCUCGUUGCGCUACUUAAGGCAACACCUCACGGCACGAGCUGACGACAGCCAUGCGGCACCUGUGCAGGCUCCCGAAGGAGCACCGGCUUUCACCGGCUUCACCCUGCAUGUCAAGUCCAGGUAAGGUUCUUCGCGUUGCGUCGAAUUAAGCCACAUGCUCCGCCGCUUGUGCGGGCCCCCGUCAAUUCCUUUGAGUUUUAGCCUUGCGGCCGUACUCCCCAGGCGGGGUGCUUAAUGCGUUAGCUUCGGCACGGAUGGAGUCGACACCACCCACACCUAGCACCCAUCGUUUACGGCGUGGACUAC
rnacentral:misc_RNA from 1 species